rnacentral:tRNA from 1 species
GGGAGUUUAGCUUAAUCGGUCAAAGCAUCGUGACGCGUAAUCACGGAGAUGUGAGUUCGAGUCCCACAGCUAACC